GAUUGGCAAGAGCUUUUUCGGCGGCAUGUUUGGAAGUGUCUUUGACACCGCAACCUCUAUGCUGCCUCUGGGUGACUGCACCGGCCUGAACCUUGCCGGCGACAUCAUGUGCGGCCAGCCGGUGGUCUUCGAAUUUCCCAGCGCACUCAACAUUGGAAAGUGUCUGAACACAACGAUGUCGACAUGCGUUGGAACUCAUGCGAAUCAGGAUCUGGUCGUAAAACAGUUCUUCCAAGCUGCCACUGU